CCUACGGGUGGCUGCAGUGAGGAAUAUUGGUCAAUGGGCUUACGCCUGAACCAGCCAAGUCGCGUGAGGGAAGACUGCCCUAUGGGUUGUAAACCUCUUUUGUCAGGGAGCAAUUGGCGCUACGUGUAGCGUUAUCGAGAGUACCUGAAGCAAAAGCAUCGGCUAACUCCGUGCCAGCAGCCGCGGUAAUACGGAGGAUGCGAGCGUUAUCCGGAUUUAUUGGGUUUAAAGGGUGCGCAGGCGGUCUGUUAAGUCAGCGGUCAAAGCCCGGGGCUCAACCCCGGCCCGCCGUUGAAACUGGCAGUCUCGAGUUGGAGAGAAGUAUGCGGAAUGCGCGGUGUAGCGGUGAAAUGCAUAGAUAUCGCGCAGAACUCCGAUUGCGAAGGCAGCAUGCCGGCUCCACACUGACGCUGAGGCACGAAAGCGUGGGUAUCGAACAGGAUUAGAUACCCCUGUAGUC
rnacentral:rRNA from 1 species